rnacentral:rRNA from 1 species
UACAGAGGGGGCAAGCGUUAUUCGGAAUUAUUGGGCGUAAAGGGCGCGUAGGCGGCCUGGCAAGUGGAAGGUGAAAUCCCUCGGCUUAACCGAGGAACUGCCCUCCAAACUGCUUGGCUUGAGACCGGGAGAGGUGAGUGGAAUUCCCAGUGUAGCGGUGAAAUGCGUAGAUAUUGGGAGGAACACCGGUGGCGAAGGCGGCAUCCUGGACCAAUACUGACGCUGAGGAGCGAAAGCCAGGGGAGCAAACGGG